rnacentral:piRNA from 1 species
AAGCGCGCGGCGGAGCAUGGUUU